UUUCAUCCAUUUGAAAUUAUAUUUAAGGAAAGUUAAAAAACAAAUUUGUCAGAAAUUAUACAAAUGUACAAUAAAUUAAAUUUGAAAAUGUGGCCACAAGAAAGGAAAAAGAAACACUUGUACAUUAUUUAUCAGCUUUGGUGUCCUUUGUGUGUGAAAUUGCAUUGGCUGAUGUAGAAGAAAGCCAUAUCUCAUAUCUUUUUAUUUUAUGUUCUUUCUUGUCCUUUUGUUUGACCUUCUAGGUCACCAUCAGAAAAGCUAAGUUUGCUGUAUAGUGAGGAUCAGGAGAUCUGAUCCUGAUUGCAGAACCUUCCCUGAUUACAGAAUCUUCGGUUGUAUCUCCCACUUCACCCUUCUAGACCAUCCCAGAAGAUCUAUAAGAUUUCAUCUGGGAAAUCACUAGGAGUUCUUGGAAGGGAAAGAAGGAAGAUUGUUGGUUGGAAUAAAAACAGGGUUGAAUGAGUUCCAGAAAGCAGGGUUCUCAACCUCGUGGACAGCAAUCUGCAGAAGAAGAGAACUUCAAAAAACCAACUAGAAGCAACAUGCAGAGAAGUAAAAUGAGAGGGGCCU
rnacentral:sRNA from 1 species